AUGAUUGUAGAUGUUAACAGGGAGGCCGUAUUCCAGGCGACAAAGGUUCGAACCCAUCUGAAACAAGAUGGAAGCUGGAUCAACAGAUCUAAAAAUGUUGAGGACACACAGUCAGAUGUAAAAGCAAGUAAACCAAUAAAGCAAGGAAAACCUAAAAAUGUUUCAUCACCUGAAAGCAGUUCGGUCUCUUCCUCCGUCAUGCCAUGUGCAGAGAGUACCACCACCUCCUCCAGCCUGGACUCGUCCACACCCCCUCAAAGCUCUUAUGUCGUGUCAGCCUUAAGGAAGUUUGAUGCACAUCCUGUCCUUGAGGACCCCAGGAGAGCACAUGUAGAGAAAGCAGUGGAGACAUCCAUAGCCAAAGCCACAGAGCAACCACUGAAGACACCAGCAGAUGCUUCUGUAAAGGACAUAGUGGAAAAACCAAUCGCUAUACCUGAAGACGAACCAUUGAAGACACAUGCAGAUGUUUCUGUAAAGGACAUAAUGGAGAAACCUACAAAUAAACCUGUAGAGGAACCAAUGAAGAUGCAUGCAGACGCUCCUAAAUUGGAUGUAGUGGAGAAACCUAUAGAGGAACCAUUGAAGACACAUGCAGACACUCCUAAAACAGACAUAGUGGAGAAACCUGUUAAAGAACCAUUGAAUACACAUGCAGACACUCCUAAAAUGUGCGUAGUGGAGAAUAUAAUUAAACCUGUAGAGGAACCAUUGAAGACACCUACAGAUGUUCCUGUAAAGAACAUAGUGGAGAAACCUGCAGAGAGACACACAGAGACUGUAGAGGGAACAAGGAAGACACCUGUAGAUGGAGCUUCAACAAAUCAAACACAAUCCAGUGGAGCGCUGCAGGAGAAAACAGUCAAAACCCUACAUGAGAACCCAGCAAAGCCUUCACUGACUACAGAGAAUAAAGAGGAUGAUACAGUUGAACAAGUCUCAAUAGCACAUGCACCUGUAGUAGAGGCUCUACUCGAACCCAGACAGGUAGAAAACCAGCCUACAAGUGAACAUGGGGAACUUUCACUAGUAUCUGCUCUGGAAACUCCAACUACAGAGUCAUCAACUAGAUCAACUACAGAACCAACCGAAGAACCCCGUGUGGCAGCCCUGGAAGAGAACCACAGACUGAACAGUCAAGCUCAAUUGAAUGUCAGAGGUAAAACCAUGUGUUCCUUCUGCAAGCUGCCCAUAGAUGGAAAUGUGAAAAUCUCCAUCAACAUUCCUGCCAUUUGCUGCCAUCCGGAUUGUUUAAAGGUUUACUUUUUAAAUCUUUUCUUCCUCUGUACUCAGGCUCAGAAGUCAGAGUCUUGUCUUAUAUUUCCACAUGGUAUCAAGGUUUUUGGUGAUCUGAUCACAGGUGGUCAGUGCUCAAUACAGGUGUUAGUAAGGUCAAAAACAUUUUGUGAUGGGAACAUUGAAACCUACAGAAGGCCAAGACAUUUGUUAUUAUUAAUUUUGUUUUCUUGUGCUUGCAGCUCAAAGGGAUAUUUCGUUUACUCGCCCUCAAGUGCUUCCAAACCUGCAUGAGUUUUCUUCUGCUGAGCACAAAAGAAGAUAUUUUGAAGAAUGUUGGCAACCAAACAGUUGAUGGCAGCCCACUGUUUCCACAGUAUGGAAAAAAUAGUAUGGAAGUCAAUGGCUAUCAUCAACUGUCUGGAUACCAACAUUCUUCAAAAUAUCAUCAUACUCAAAAAUCAUUAGAAUAGCAAGCAGUACUAGACAAAUGCUGUUGUUUUUCAGCAAAAUUUGUUUUUUCAAUAGUUUUGGUUUUUGUUCAGAGAGCUCCUUUUCAAAAAAGCUACCUGUUAGAAUAAAAAAAUUAAUCUUUUUUUUUUGUUUUUAGGAAUAGAAUGUACACAUGACUAAUAUGUCUUUAAGAAAAUAAUACAAAUACAAAUCAGUCACAGCAGUUUUUUUUUUUUUCUCAGAGAUGGUCUGUUGUAACCUAAACAUUUUACUUGUGUAUUUGACUUUUUCAAUGGUCUAAAAGAAAAUCUCAAGCGACGCAUGUUAAUAGCAGGUGGAAAAAAUGCCUAUGCUUGGAAGCAAGGCCCAAAAUUAACUUUUCGAUCACAUCUGCCAAUGCCUUUAUGUUUAAUGGCCUUGGAACUUUUUCUUUAUUUUCUUUGAGAAUUAAGAUGUGCCGCAGCAUGGUGAGUAAAGCUGUGUCUCUCUGUGUGUGUUUUAGUGUAAUGGUUGCAGCAGUCCUCUGGGCGAUCUCUCUUCAUCUAUGUACCACUAUGCUGGGAAAAUCCUCUGCGAGAAAUGCUUUGAUCGAAUCUUCCAGCUCUGAUGACUCAUCCUACUGCAACCUACUCCACUACAACUCAUCACCAUAACACCCAAGCACAUCUCAGUGUCUACCAGCAAGUUUCCUGUAAUUAAGCAACUAAAUUAAAAAAAAAAAAAAAAAUUAAAAAAAAAAAAAAAAAUUCAGUCUUUAUCAGUAGAGGAUCUGCUGUCUUAAGUUUAUUGCACAUAAAUUCAACAACUAUUUUUCAGUAAAUGGUCAUGCUGUGUGUGCAUGUCUUCCUAUAUACUAACAAAAUUCCCCAUGAGGUUUAAUAGGUUUUAAUUAUUUCUCUUUCUGAUCAAUAUAUUCCUUGUUUUCUUCUAACAAGUCACUGUUUCUAAUGUAAAAUAAGCUUAAAGAAGAAGAUUGCUUCCAGAAUGAAAAUUUCCUGAUAAUUUACUUAUCCCUAUGUCAUCCAAGAUGUUCACUUCUUUCUUUCAUCAGUCGAAAAUAAAUUAAGAUUUUUAAGUGAAAAAAUUCCAGGAUUUUUCUCCAUAUAGGCUAGUGGACUACAAUGGGGAUCAACGUGUUGAAGGUCCAAAUAGCAGUUGAAUCCCAUCUGAAGAAAAGUAUAUCUAGUAAAAUGAUCAGUGAAGAAAAAUAAAAAAUUUACAUACUUUUAACCACAAAUGCUCAUCUUGCACUAGCUCGACCUCACGCAUUACAUAAUCACGCAUGUGUGAUGUAGGCGGAAGUAGUGACGCAGUGUUUACAAAGCGAACGUGCAAAGAAAGUCUUUAACAACUUUAAUAAAAAAAGGUUACAAAAAACGGAUAGUUAGUAUGUAUUUUGAAGUUUAGAGGAGAAAUGAG
rnacentral:lncRNA from 1 species